AUCCAAUCAGAAUAUGUAGUCCAGGAACGGCAUUUGCAUAACCUCGGUAUAUAAAGCAUGGUGAGGUCGCAUCAGGUCAUUUCAGGCUCUGCUGUGUCAAGUCGGGGAGCGGCUCUUUGCUCAGCUUAGAGAACUGGAAGAGGCCGCAACCUUCUGCCUGCUGGAGGCUGGAGGAUGGAUGGAGCCUGGAGCCUGGGACACUACCUUGCUGUGGUUGGUGGUGGCGACAGAGCAGUAAGAGGGUGGCCGGCAGCAGGAGCUUGUCCUGCUGGGCUGGAGGACUAGGAGAAGGAAGAGGCACCACCACAUGCUGGAGGCUGAAGCCUGGAGUCUGUGCCACCAUGGCUCGCCUCGCUGUGGUUGGUGGUGACGCUGGAGACUGCAGCUGGGCCACAGUGGUAGAAAUGUGAUGGGGUAGGUUUUUGGGGAACAGGUGGCGUUUGAUUGUAAGAGUAAGUUCCUUAGAGGUUGAAUAAUUUUGAUGGGCAGAAGUGUUCUAAAGUAUGCUUUUAUAAACCUCAUAUCACAGUAAUCCAUUGUUGAAACAUGGCUUAAUGCAUGUUUUAGGAUGGGUGAAGGAAGGAGAGAAGGGAAAAAGAAAAGAUGAAGAAAGGAAGAAAAAAAGAAAAAAGAAGGUGAAGGAAAGAGAGAGGAAGAAAGAAAAUGAAAAUAUGAGCAUGUUAUGAAGAAAACUGAAAAUAUGUAAUUAUUUUUUCUUAAUUUUAGCAGGUGUAGAAACUCUUAAGGCUGAUGAUGAGAUAGCUAUUUUUGCCAUAAAUUACAUGAAUUAUAUUCAUUUUUACAUUCUUAUAAUACAGCAUUAGAAUAUGUUGUGUUAUACGUAGACUCCUUAGAAGAUACACAUAAAUAAAAGAAAAAAAUUAAAAGCUGCUUUCAACUUACUAUCAUUCAUGUCCAUCUCUGUGUGCAUGUAUUACACACACACACACAUCCCCACAGUAAGAACCCACUAAAUAUUGUUAAGUUCUGGGAAAAUAUGACCUUAAGUGAAAUGACGUACAAUAGGUCCUUGAAUAACAUAGUCAUUUAGAUAUAAUUAUAAUAUGGAAAAAAUGGAUUUUGUUAUGCAUCGUUUUGAUUAAAGUCACAGUUUCCAAGAACCUAUUGAUGACAUUGAGGAGUUUAUACACACACAAACAUACACAAACAUGCACACACAUACAACACACACACACACAAAUGUAGUUAUACACAAUAUACUGACUGCCUUAUAAGAAUUUUUUUUCUAUCUUGUAAUAAUACAUGAGUACCACAUUUUUCAAUGCAUUUAAUCAUGC
rnacentral:lncRNA from 1 species